rnacentral:rRNA from 1 species
UACGGAGGGUGCAAGCGUUAAUCGGAAUUACUGGGCGUAAAGCGUGCGUAGGCGGUUCGUUAAGUCUGUUGUGAAAGCCCCGGGCUCAACCUGGGAAUGGCAAUGGAUACUGGCGAGCUAGAGUGUGUCAGAGGAUGGUGGAAUUCCCGGUGUAGCGGUGCAAUGCGUAGAGAUCGGGAGGAACAUCAGUGGCGAAGGCGGCCAUCUGGGACAACACUGACGCUGAGGCACGAAAGCGUGGGGGAGCAAACAGG